rnacentral:rRNA from 1 species
UAUGUAGGGGGCAAGCGUUGUCCGGAUUUAUUGGGCGUAAAGAGCGUGUAGGCGGUCCGGUAAGUCCGUUGUGAAAGUCAAGGGCUCAACCGGGGAAGGGCCUCGGAGACGGGCGGGCUCGAGGGGGGCAGGGGCGGGCGGAACUUCCGGUGGAGCGGUGAAAUGCGUUGAGAUCGGAAGGAACGCCGGUGGCGAAAGCGGCCCGCUGGGCCCCUCCUGACGCUGAGGCGCGAAAGCCAGGGGAGCGAACGGG